GAUGAAGAACGCAGCGAAAUGCGAUACGUAAUGUGAAUUGCAGAAUUCAGUGAAUCAUCGAAUCUUUGAACGCACAUUGCGCCCGCCAGUAUUCUGGCGGGCAUGCCUGUCUGAGCGUCAUUUCAACCCUCAUGCCCCUAGGGCGUGGUGUUGGGGAUCGGCCAAAGCCCGCGAGGGACGGCCGGCCCCUAAAUCUAGUGGCGGACCCGUCGUGGCCUCCUCUGCGAAGUAGUGAUAUUCCGCAUCGGAGAGCGACGAGCCCCUGCCGUUAAACCCCCAACUUUCCAAGGUUGACCUCAGAUCAGGUAGGAAUACCCGCUGAACUUAAGCAUAUCAAUAAGCGGAGGA
rnacentral:misc_RNA from 1 species